rnacentral:rRNA from 1 species
CAUCGUUGCCCCAGUGCCUUGGCCAUGUGCUAGGCAUCGACUGGGGUGAAUGUUGGCUUCCCGCGAGCAUGGUCUCACGGUUGGUUGAAAACUGAGUCCGUGGUGGAGGGCGCCGUGAUGGAUGGUGGCUGAGUUAAAGCUCGAGACCGAUCGUGCGUGUCACCCCCACCAGAUUUGUGACUCUGUGACCCAUGGGGUCUGUUGGCCGCCUAAGACGGGA